rnacentral:lncRNA from 1 species
GGGCCUUAGCUCACUUCCCUCCCCGAUCCAUAUAGUUGAAAGGGAAUAGUUUUUACAAACUACUCAUGAGAGUCAUGGACUCAUGGUACAACACAUCUCCUUCAGAAUUAGUAUGUUGCAAGUGCUAAAAGACCAUACAGGCUCUCCACACCUCAGUUUCAAAUAGCUCCAGUAAUAUGGCAGAAUCUUCACUUCGCCAAAUCGACAGGAUUAGAUGCAAUCCCACAACAUUGAGGCCACACAUGACACAUCGAUAUUUUUCAAUCAGAAGUUGAUUGUUGUUGGUGCAAUUCAUUUGCCUCUUAUUACAUUACAAAUGGAACAUAGAGUUCAAGCAUUUCGAUUAAGGAAACGAGAAAGAGGGGUCUAAAUUUUUCAUUCAAAAGCAUAACAGAACUGGCUAGCCAAACAUGCGUUUCUGACAACUCCUUCACCUGCAGGGGGAAUGUAAGCAUUAGGAUUUCACAAAACUGUAGGGACAUGUGUGGGGUCCCAAAUGCACAAGGGGCCACUAUGAGCAAGUGAGAAGUCUUAAACAGUGGGCACAGACGAUGUGGAGUGUGGCUUUUAGCAGUGAUAACUGAAAAACAUAGGUGAUCCUCCCAGCACUACUAGAAUCUGCAAGUUUACCCACAACUUGAGUUCCCCUACUUCCUAGGGAGCAAGCAAAAGACAGUGAGUAAACAGCAAGCAAAAGACAAUGGGGAAGAUGUUUCCCUGCAGAUUUUAAUUUCCUACCGGGAACAUUUUGAUAGGAAAGGAAAAAUGACCUUCCAUUUUUUCAGGAAAACUGUAGGGAAUGAUGCUUUACGUAGGUUUCUAAUGCUACUUAUGGCAUGGAAAGGUUUAAGGACUAAAGCAGUGAUGCCUCUGUGUGUGUUGUGUCUGUGAGCGCAGGUGUUGUUUCUGUUGGUCGCUUGGCCAGCGACCGUGCAGGUGGUGCCAGAGCUGCUUGGGGUCAUGGAAUUGGUCAGCGAGGCGGGGGCGAGAGGAUCCCUGGGAUGCGCCUUCCAUCGACCGAGCGUCGACGCGGGGCGAGAAUGGCGGAGCGACCAAGAGUGGAUUUCCCUUGCUGGUUUUAGAGCUCAGCUACCUAUGUUAAGUAAAAAAAAGGAAACCCAACGAUCGUCAAUCUCGUCAUGUCUCUGCCGCACCUCAGUCUCCGCCGCACAGAUCGGCAUGCCACACGUGCGCCCUGGACUGCAGCCCCUGCACCUCCCUCCAUCGCCCUCGUCAAUCCCGUCAUGGAAGGCCCGUCCUCGCCUCCCCGCGCGCGGCGCCUCCCUGGAUCUUCCCCACCAUCCUCGCCUCUCGGCGCGUGGGGAUUCCCUGGAUCUUCCUCACCUCCCGUCAACAAAACAAAAGGAAACACAACGGCCUCUUACCAUCUUUUUCCUCGCCUCCCGUUCCUCCUCCUACCUUGUACGGCGACUCCAAACAGCAAAAGUGAGGAGGAAGAUAGUGGCACUGCAGCGCUCGUGGAAGAAGAAGCGGUGAAGCAGGCAGAGGGGUUCGAGGCUGUGGAGGCAAGGGCAAAGAACGUCGACAAGUUUGAUCUCAGCUACCUUGACAACCAAGUC